ensembl:snRNA U6 U6 spliceosomal RNA
UUGCUCUCUUCAGCACAUAUACUAAAACUGAAAUGAUACUGAGAAGAUUAGCAUGGCCCCUAAACAAGAAUGACACAAAAAUUUGUGAAGCAUUCCAUAUUUUU